UAUGGUCAUUAACCUAAUUAUUUCUUAAUAAUUUGUUAAUUUUUUCUACCAAAUUUAUAAUCUAACAUAUGUUCACAUUUCAGUUCAUUUGGCGUCCAUAUCUAAAUUUGGAACAUGACCAUGAAAUCAGCCAACAAGACACAGUCGUUUGGACUGCAUGCACACCGAUCAUAAGAUUCACCACUGUGGAGAUGCACAAUAGUGAUCGUGUUAAAUUGCAGUUCAGUAUGCUUCA
rnacentral:lncRNA from 1 species